UGGGGAAUAUUGGACAAUGGGCGAAAGCCUGAUCCAGCCAUGCCGCGUGUGUGAAGAAGGUCUUCGGAUUGUAAAGCACUUUAAGUUGGGAGGAAGGGCAGUAAGUUAAUACCUUGCUGUUUUGACGUUACCGACAGAAUAAGCACCGGCUAACUCUGUGCCAGCAGCCGCGGUAAUACGUAGGCAGCAAGCGUUGUUCGGAAUUACUGGGUGUAAAGGGUGCGUAGGCGGCGCUCUAAGUUUGGUGUGAAAUCUCCCGGCUUAACUGGGAGGGUGCACUGAAAACGGGGGCGCUCGAGUAUGGGAGAGGAAAGCGGGAUUCCUGGUGUAGCGGUGAAAUGCGUAGAGAUCAGGAGGAACACCUGCGGUGCAGACGGCUUUCUGGACCAUCACUGACGCUGAGGCACGAAAGCGUGGGUAGCAA
rnacentral:rRNA from 1 species